rnacentral:piRNA from 1 species
UCCUGGUCUCUAUGAAGUCCCCUGUGGUCC